rnacentral:rRNA from 1 species
UUUGAUCACCAUAUCUUCCUGAACACACCAGAUAUUGUCUGAUUUUGGAAGCUACAGAUGGUCAAUCCUGAUUAGAACUUGUAUGGAAAACUAUCAAGGAUGUCCAGGUAGGGUUGGGA